rnacentral:rRNA from 1 species
ACUCCUACGGGAGGCAGCAGCUACGCAUUUCACCGCUACACAGAAAUUCCACCACCCUCUACCAUACUCUAGCUCGUCAGUUUUGAAUGCAGUUCCCAGGUUGAGCCCGGGGAUUUCACAUCCAACUUACCGAACCACCUACGCGCGCUUUACGCCCAGUAAUUCCGAUUAACGCUUGCACCCUCUGUAUUACCGCGGCUGCUGG